AUUCUGCCCAUGCGGGGAAGGAUGAGAAGCUUCGACCAAGGUUCGACUCGAGUGCCAGCGAGAGAGCGUUGCCGCAGGCAACGACCCGUAGGGCGAAGCGCGCAGCGCUGAGGAAUCCUUCCCCCACCACCA
rnacentral:sRNA from 1 species